rnacentral:rRNA from 1 species
CCUACGGGUGGCUGCAGUGGGGAAUAUUGCACAAUGGGCGCAAGCCUGACGCAGCCAUGCCGCGUGUGUGAAGAAGGCCUUCGGGUUGUCAAGCACUUUCAGCGGGGAGGAAGGCGGUGAGGUUAAUAACCUCAUCGAUUGACGUUACCCGCAGAAGAAGCACCGGCUAACUCCGUGCCAGCAGCCGCGGUAAUACGGAGGGUGCAAGCGUUAAUCGGAAUUACUGGGCGUAAAGCGCACGCAGGCGGUCUGUCAAGUCGGAUGUGAAAUCCCCGGGCUCAACCUGGGAACUGCAUUCGAAACUGGCAGGCUAGAGUCUUGUAGAGGGGGGUAGAAUGCCAGGUGUAGCGGUGAAAUGCGUAGAGAUCUGGAGGAAUACCGGUGGCGAAGGCGGCCCCCUGGACAAAGACUGACGCUCAGGUGCGAAAGCGUGGGGAGCAAACAGGAUUAGAUACCCCGGUAGUC